AAACCAAAUUUAAUACCGCCUCUCUCGUCGCUCUCGCUUCCACGACCAAACCCCUCCGAGUAUCACCCCGACGAAGAGGAGGAGAAGGAUUUUUUAGGGUUUCGUAGAAGAGCACGGUGCACAACAAUGGCAAUGCGGGUGGUGAUAGGGCUCUCGAGAGCCAGUCUCUUGGCCGGUGCAGGGCUUGCUGGUUCGACUUUGGUACGGGAUGGGAGGUGGCAUGAUAUACUGGCGGAGCUUCAGGACACGCUCAAGGGAGUGGGGAACUCUGGAGAGAAAGUAACUGAUGCUGUUGUUAAAUUGUUUGAAAUUCUUGAGAAAGGAACUGAUGCUGUUGAUGAAUGGUUUGAAAGUUUUGGUCCUCAGGUGCAAAAGUUGCUCUUGGAGGUCUGGAAACGUCUUCCCACAUAUUCUACGACUGUUCACAAUGGAAAUUCAGGCGGAAAUUCAGGCCUGACAGGAUUAACAACACUUAUAUUACCAGCUGCCACCUUGGGAGGAUUAGGCUGUGGAUACAUGUGGUGGAAAGGUAUCUCUCUUUCCAACUUCAUGUAUGUCACCAAACGAAAUAUGGCAAAUGAUGUUUCAAGCAUGACAAAAAAAUUGGAGCAAGUCUCUGCUUCUCUUUCUGGAGCUAUGAGGCAUCUGACUCAGCAAAUUAACAGGUUGGAUGAUAAACUAGAUGAGCAAAAGCACAUUGCUGAAAAAAUAGAACAGGAGGUUACUGAUGCACGCAUGAGUACAGGCUCAGAUAUAAAGGCCAUCACUCAAUUAGUUCAGAAUCUGGGUGAUAAGAUUAGUGUGAUGGAAGAGAAACGGGUAGACCUUCCACUCAAACUAAUUUCCAUGGUUUUACAUGUUCUCUUCAUUUGUCUCACUUGUUCAGUUCUGCAGAUAACUCUUCCGUGUGUAAAUCUUAUUUACUACCUGGUCUGCUGCAACUAGUGGACUCAGAAGAAUCGGGGAAUGUUGCAAGGCGCUCUGAAUCAGGAAAUUCUGCGACUCUGGCGCUGAUCUCGUCUUGCUAAAUGAUAUUGAUUCGGGAUUCUUCUCCACUAGCUAGCUCUCUAAACAUUGAGGACCUCAAAAGCAAAUUUUGGGCUGUUGAAGAAGAAGAAGAAGAAGAAGAUCUACGGCAAGAAUCACUUCCUAAGGGCUGAUGUACCAUGCACAAACUGUUGGUUAUAUUCUGAGCUGAUCUCGUUGGUCACAAAGGAGGGUUGCAGAAGUUGAAGUUCGUCGGUGAGGCUUUGGUCUUGAGAUGUAAAACCGUUGUCGGCUGCUCCUCGUUUAAGCCAUUUGAUAUAUGUGCUUAAGUCGAAGUUGAUCGAAAAAGCAAGAGAGUUGAUCAAAAAAGCCCGCCGCAAUGCGUGGAUAACUUCACCGGUUUUGCUUGAUUAUAUAUAAAUAAAUAAAAUUCGUUAAGUUACUGAAUUCACAUAUAACGUUAUUCUUAAAAUUUUAUUUUAUGUUGUAUAAGG